rnacentral:rRNA from 1 species
GGGGGGGGGGGGGGGGGGGGCUGGGGGGGGGGAGGGGAGCGGCGGCGCAGGAAGAGGGUGCUCUUACGGGGGGCGGGUGGCGGGCGGGUGGGGGAUACAGAGGCAUCUACUUUUUCGUGGUGGGUAACGUAAGGCAACUUACGCUAAUACCGCAUACUACCUACGGGUUGAAUCAGGGGAUCUUCGGACCUUGCGCGAUAGAAUGAGCCGAUGCCUGAUUAGCUCGUUGGCGGGGUAAAUGCCCACCAAGGCGACGAUCCGUAGCUGGUCUGAGAUGAUGGUCAGCCACACUGGCACUGAGACACGGUCCAGACUCCUACGGGAGGCAGCAGUGGGGAAUAUUGGACAAUGGGCGCAAGCCUGAUCCAGCCAUACCGCGUGGGUGAAGAAGGCCUUCGGGUUGUAAAGCCCUUUUGUUGGGAAAGAAAAGCAGCAGGUUAAUACCCCGCUGUUCUGACGGUACCCAAAGAAUAAGCACCGGCUAACUUCGUG